rnacentral:rRNA from 1 species
UACGGGGGGGGCAAGCGUUGUUCGGAAUUACUGGGCGUAAAGGGUGCGUAGGCGGUUCGUUAAGUUAGAUGUGAAAACUCUGGGCUCAACCCAGAGCCUGCAUCUAAGACUGGCGGGCUAGAGUUCUGGAGGGGGUAGCGGAAUUCCUGGUGUAGCGGUGAAAUGCGUAGAUAUCAGGAGGAACACCGGUGGCGAAGGCGGCUACCUGGACAGAAACUGACGCUGAGGCACGAAAGCUAGGGGAGCAAACAGG